rnacentral:rRNA from 1 species
UACGAAGGGGGCUAGCGUUGUUCGGAAUCACUGGGCGUAAAGGGCGCGUAGGCGGCUUUAUAAGUCGGGGGUGAAAGCCUGUGGCUCAACCACAGAAUUGCCUUCGAUACUGUAGAGCUUGAGACCGGAAGAGGUAAGUGGAACUGCGAGUGUAGAGGUGAAAUUCGUAGAUAUUCGCAAGAACACCAGUGGCCGAAGGCGGCUUACUGGUCCGGUUCUGACGCUGAGGCGCGAAAGCGUGGGGAGCAAACAGG